rnacentral:rRNA from 1 species
AUUGAACGCUGGCGGCAGGCCUAACACAUGCAAGUCGAGCGGAUGAAGGGAGCUUGCUCCUGGAUUCAGCGGCGGCCGGGUGAGUAAUGCCUAGGAAUCUGCCUGGUAGUGGGGGAUAACGUCCGGUAACGGGCGCUAAUACCGCAUACGUCCUGAGGGAGAAAGUGGGGGCUCUUCAGACCUCACGCUAUCAGAUGAGCCUAGGUCGGAUUAGCUAGUUGGUGGGGUAAAGGCCUACCAAGGCGACGAUCCGUAACUGGUCUGAGAGGAUGAUCAGUCACACUGGAACUGAGACACGGUCCAGACUCCUACGGGAGGCAGCAGUGGGGAAUAUUGGACAAUGGGCGAAAGCCUGAUCCAGCCAUGCCGCGUGUGUGAAGAAGGUCUUCGGAUUGUAAAGCACUUUAAGUUGGGAGGAAGGGCAGUAAGUUAAUACCUUGCUGUUUUGACGUUACCAACAGAAUAAGCACCGGCUAACUUCGUG